rnacentral:lncRNA from 1 species
UCUGCAGAAAGAGAAGAGACAGAAGAAAAUACCAGAAAAGGCACUGAAGAUGGGGUGAGCAUAUGGAAAAUGGAAUGGCAGAGAGGGACUAUUAGUGAGUAUAGGGUACAAAAAUUUUUAUAUAUUUUUUUCCCAUGUCAAUCGCUUUGAUUGUUAUUCUAGAUUUUAGUAUCCUUAAAAUUAAAAACGAGUACAUAAGUUCCCAACAAAACAUUGAAAGAAUUGGAGAAGUAGGAUGAGAGAAAGGAAUAAAUCAUAAAUGAGAGGCUUUUUAUCAAGUAUGUACUCUGCCACAGGAAAAAAUAAAAAUAAAUUUGAAAUUGUUCUGAAAGAAGUGCAAGGUACUUUUAUUCUACACAUUUUUCCAUUUAAUAGUUUAAGACAGGACAAGCUAAAGGCAAGGAUUACAUUCUUAUGCCAGUCAGUGUUGUAUUAGAUUGAGGUAAACUUUUUUUUUUUUACAGGUUUGAAAUGCCUUUCUUUCUGAUAUGAAAUGCAAACUUGUAUAUAUUCUCCUAGAGCAAAAUGCACAGCUCUUCUGCCUCCCACUGAUAAAUCAAGGCAAACAAACUAUGCAAUGGGACCAAUCAUUCUGCAAACCGUGCAUAUGGCUCAGUGGAUAGCAUGGAAAAGGAGCAUCAAGGCAACUCUGCAAGGAAAAUCUUCAGACUGAAUUUUAUUAACUAAAAUGGAUAUGCAAAAAUAUUGUCUCACCAGAAUGGAAUGACUCCUGGAUGAGGUGGCCAGUAUAAAUUAAAGCGGGGUCCUUGACUGAAGUGAAGCACAAUGAAUGAUCAGAAAAGAAUGGUGAAGAACAGAAUUGUGAGGAGAUGGAGGAAGCCAGGCAGCAGAUACAAAAGAAUAUGGGAGUAAUACAUUUCUGAUGUGCAAAACAGAGCGAACAUGGUUAUAGCAUUCUGGAAAUUAUAAACACCUUAGAGAGUUAAGACUACCUCAUAAAAGGGAUCAGGUCACUGCUUGGGGAUUAUUUAUAAAGCAGACUUUAAUUAAAAGGUCAAAGAAAGAUGCAUAUAUGUUUUAAUAAGCAGCUCUUUAUUACAUAGUCCAUACAUCAAUAAGUUGUUUAUAAUCACUUAUUGAUAGCUACAAGCAUGCUAUUUACUUAUUUAUUUAACUCUUGGACACCAUUGACAAAUAGUACCUUUUUUUACACAGUAUAAAACUGCAGAAGGAAGCUAGAAAGAAGCAAGAUAUGAAUUAGGAUUUUGACAUAAAUCAGUAAAUAAAGGUAACUUGCACAGCA